rnacentral:rRNA from 1 species
UGUUAAGUUAGUGGCGGACGGGUGAGUAACGCGUGGGUAACCUGCCGUAUACCGGGGGAUAACACCUGGAAACAGGUGCUAAUACCGCAUAAGCGCACGGGACCGCAUGGUCCAGUGUGAAAAACCGAGGUGGUAUGCGAUGGACCCGCGUCUGAUUAGCCAGUUGGCAGGGUAACGGCCUACCAAAGCGACGAUCAGUAGCCGGCCUGAGAGGGUGGACGGCCACAUUGGGACUGAGACACGGCCCAAACUCCUACGGAAGGCAGCAG